GACGAACGCUGGCGGCGUGCUUAACACAUGCAAGUCGAACGGAAAGGCCCUGCUUGCAGGGUACUCGAGUGGCGAACGGGUGAGUAACACGUGGGUGAUCUGCCCUGCACUUCGGGUUAAGCCUGGGAAACUGGGUCUAAUACCGGAAAGGAGCAAUUUUUAGUGUGUUGUUUGGAAAGUUUUUUCGGUGUAGGAUGAGCUCGCGGCCUAUCAGCUUGUUGGUGGGGUAAUGGCCUACCAAGGCGGCGACGGGUAGCCGGCCUGAGAGGGUGGACGGCCACAUUGGGACUGAGAUACGGCCCAGACUCCUACGGGAGGCAGCAGUGGGGAAUAUUGCACAAUGGGCGCAAGCCUGAUGCAGCGACGCCGCGUGGGGGAUGACGGCCUUCGGGUUGUAAACUCCUUUCGCUAGGGACGAAGCUUUUUGUGACGGUACCUAGAGAAGAAGCACCGGCUAACUACGUG
rnacentral:rRNA from 1 species